rnacentral:lncRNA from 1 species
AAUUAGCCGAUCAACACAAAUGAACUUUUUUCGCAAACACUCAAGACAACCCGAAAGAGCAUUGUAAGUCUAUUCUAAAGCGUAGUGGUAGAAAAAUUGACAUGGGCAUUGGUAAUGACGUGGAGGAAGAGGAAAUUGUAGUAGAAAAGGAGAAGGAAAAAGAUGAGAUUGAAGUAGAAAAAAAUAUUGAGGGAGAAUUAGUUAAAAAAGAAAAACGUGAGAAAGAAGAAGUAAAAAAUAAAAAUAGAGAGGAAAAGAAUAAAAAGAAUCAAAAGGG